AGGAGUUUUGAUUCAUGGGCUCAGAUUGAACGCUGGCGGUAUGCUUAACACAUGCAAGUCGAACGGCAGCACGAGGAGCUUGCUCCUUGGUGGCGAGUGGCGGACGGGUGAGUAAUGCAUAGGAAUCUGCCUUUUAGUGGGGGAUAACCCGGGGAAACUCGGGCUAAUACCGCAUAAUCUCUACGGAGUAAAGCGGGGGAUCUUCGGACCUCGCGCUAAAAGAUGAGCCUAUGUCGGAUUAGCUUGUUGGUGGGGUAAAGGCCUACCAAGGCAACGAUCCGUAGCUGGUCUGAGAGGAUGAUCAGCCACACUGGGACUGAGACACGGCCCAGACUCCUACGGGAGGCAGCAGUGGGGAAUAUUGGACAAUGGGCGAAAGCCUGAUCCAGCAAUACCGCGUGUGUGAAGAAGGCCUUCGGGUUGUAAAGCACUUUCAGCGGGGAAGAAAGGCUCAAGGUUAAUAGCCUUGGGAGUUGACGUUACCCGCAGAAGAAGCACUGGCUAACUCUGUGCCAGCAGCCGCGGUAAUACAGAGAGUGCAAGCGUUAAUCGGAAUUACUGGGCGUAAAAGCGCGCGUAGGUGGACUUAUUAAGGCGGAUGCGAAAGCCCUGGGCUUAACCUGGGGAACUGCAUCCGAUACUGGUGGUCUAGA
rnacentral:rRNA from 1 species